CUCAGAGAUUGUGUCCUGAUUGUGUUCUCCAACGGUGAUGUCUGUGUACAUGUGUUGAACAUCAGGAGGAACAUCGGUUGCUACCUUGGUAAGGAAAAUGUCUCCUCUUUCUUCUUCUUCUUCCUGUUUUUUUUUUUAUUUUAUCUUUGUACAAUAACACGGACCUCUGUCAGCUUUGUCCUUCUGCAGAUACCCCGAGGCCGGCAGUCCCUGCAUGUUUAACUUCUGUUAGAGCUUCGCAAACGCUACGUUGGGGGACACGACGGCCAAAAGAACAGCAGGAGUAAAAAUAUAGGCAACCGGUCUUUUCUUUGCCAUUUUGAAAAGGUUGCGGGCAGCUAGGACAGCUGAAAAAAAAUUUCAUAAACACCCGUGCGUUCUUGUUUUGACUCUGUGGUCUUGGCAGCACGGCGGCCUCGCCCUCAGCCUCGGCUCUCUCCUUCGCAGACCUGGGAAAGUAACAGGAACAAUCUCGGUAGCACCGUGCUACAAGACAGACACGCCCGCGUUGGGACCAGGCAGCGAUGACGGGUCUUGCCGCCAGCGCACACAUGAAGCGGGGCGCUCAGCAAGCAUGCCUGGUGUACAGCAGGAAACGCUAAAGGCGGCGAAGCACAUUCAGGACACUGCGUCGUAGGAGGCACCACUAAUUACUCCCUGCAUGGGCUGGAUCGCCCCGGGAGUCGCUGCAGCCUCCAGCAGCUGCCAUGGAGCCGGGCAGAAGCUGCUCCACAGCUGCCUCCCACCGCCUUCGCUGUCACCUCAGCUGUCUCCUGGCGAUGUCUUGGCCGGCGACACCUGAAUUCAGCCACCGCUCUUUCAAUUCCCUAAGAUGAAAAUUAAGUAUAAAUAGGAGUUUGCAGACUGACUCCUCUAUAGCGGAGGGGAGGGACAGCACCAAUGUAUUGCGCUCUGCCACAAGGUCCUGG
ensembl:lncRNA